rnacentral:rRNA from 1 species
UACGUAGGGGGCUAGCGUUGUCCGGAAUCAUUGGGCGUAAAGCGCGUGUAGGUGGCUCGGUAAGUCCGCUGUGAAAGUCGGGGGGCUCAACCUCGAUGCCGGUGGAUACUGUCGGGCUAGAGUACGGAAGAGGCGAGUGGAAUUCCUGGUGUAGCGGUGAAAUGCGCAGAUAUCAGGAGGAACACCAAUUGCGAAGGCAGCUCGCUGGGACGUUACUGACGCU